rnacentral:rRNA from 1 species
GAUGAACGCUGGCGGCGUGCUUAAUACAUGCAAGUCGAACGGAGACAGUAGCAAUAUUGUCUUAGUGGCGAACGGGUGAGUAACGCGUUGGUGACCUGCCCCGAAGUAGGGGAUAACAGUCCGAAAGGACUGCUAAUACCUUAUAUGGUCGUUUGGAUUAGAUGCCUUACGACUAAAGGAUUUAUUCGCUUCGGGAGGGGCCUGCGUCCCAUCAGCUAGUUGGUAAGGUAACGGCCUACCAAGGCGAUGACGGGUAGGGGACCUGAGAGGGUGGCCCCCCACAAUGGAACUGAAACACGGUCCAUACACCUACGGGAGGCUG